rnacentral:rRNA from 1 species
GAUGAACGCUGGCGGCGUGCCUAAUACAUGCAAGUCGAGCGAACAGACGAGGAGCUUGCUCCUCUGACGUUAGCGGCGGACGGGUGAGUAACACGUGGAUAACCUACCUAUAAGACUGGGAUAACUUCGGGAAACCGGAGCUAAUACCGGAUAAUAUAUUGAACCGCAUGGUUCAAUAGUGAAAGACGGUUUUGCUGUCACUUAUAGAUGGAUCCGCGCCUCAUUAGCUAGUUGGUAAGGUAACGGCUUACCAAGGCAACGAUGCGUAGCCGACCUGAGAGGGUGGUCGGCCACACUGGAACUGAGACACGGUCCAGACUCCUACGGGAGGCAGCAGUAGGGAAUCUUCCGCAAUGGGCGAAAGCCUGACGGAGCAACGCCGCGUGAGUGAUGAAGGUCUUCGGAUCGUAAAACUCUGUUAUUAGGGAAGAACAAAUGUGUAAGUAACUAUGCACGUCUUGACGGUACCUAAUCAGAAAGCCACGGCUAACUACGUG